UUUCCGUAGGUGAACCUGCGGAGGGAUCAUUAUCGAAGUUUGCCUGGAUAGUCACUGGCCAUCCUACGCCUUUGCGCGCCCUGCCCGCCCACUCUACACCUGUGCACUUACUGUGGGUAGCAGGUGGUGCAGCGUUCUCUUUUACCGGAGCCUGACAAGCGUGUCUGUGCCUGCGGUUAUCUCAGACAUACUAAAAUAAAAGAAUGUGAAAUACGAUGUAACGCAUCUAUAUACAACUUUCAGCAACGGAUCCCUUGGCUCUCGCAUCGAUAAAGAACG
rnacentral:misc_RNA from 1 species